GAUCAUGGCUCAGGAUGAACGCUAGCUACAGGCUUAACACAUGCAAGUCGGGGGGAAACGACAUCGAAAGCUUGCUUUUGAUGGGCGUCGACCGGCGCACGGGUGAGUAACGCGUAUCCAACCUGCCCAUCACUUGGGAAUAACCUUGCGAAAGUAAGACUAAUGCCCAAUGAUAUCCCACGAAGGCAUCCGAACGGGAUUAAAGAUUUAUCGGUGAUGGAUGGGGAUGCGUCUGAUUAG
rnacentral:rRNA from 1 species